GACGAACGCUGGCGGCGUGCUUAACACAUGCAAGUCGAACGCUGAACCCGCUUCGGUGGGGGAUGAGUGGCGAACGGGUGAGUAACACGUGGGCAACCUGCCCCCGGCUCUGGGAUAACUCCAAGAAAUUGGGGCUAAUACCGGAUGUGACCGCUGGCCGCAUGGUCUGGUGGUGGAAAGGGUUUCCGGCUGGGGAUGGGCCCGCGGCCUAUCAGCUUGUUGGUGGGGUAGUGGCCUACCAAGGCGACGACGGGUAGCCGGCCUGAGAGGGUGACCGGCCACACUGGGACUGAGACACGGCCCAGACUCCUACGGGAGGCAGCAGUGGGGAAUAUUGCGCAAUGGGCGGAAGCCUGACGCAGCGACGCCGCGUGGGGGAUGACGGCCUUCGGGUUGUAAACCUCUUUCAGCAGGGGCGAAGCGCAAGUGACGGUACCUGCAGAAGAAGCACCGGCCAACUACGUG
rnacentral:rRNA from 1 species